rnacentral:rRNA from 1 species
AUGUCGUCACAGAAAGGGGUAACAAACCGUUUGUUUAGGACCGAUGCGCACCAGUGUGGAGUCUAUGAAUUGAAGGUGUCAGAAGCAAAUAGCUAGCGGAACAAGACAACAACCAGGACUAACUGCGGGGCUAAAAUGAGGCCGAAGAGGGAAAAGGAUGGAACACUUGUCGUAAAAGAGAUAGUUUGGGAACACAACCAUAGGCUGCAACUCACCCCCCAAAUGCUUGUCUUCUUGCACUCCCACAAAAACAUUGACAAAACAAUCUUGGAGUACGUCAAGUACCUGCUGUUCAAAGGCAUUGAACACACGCAAAUCAUGAGCAUACUGGGUGGCGAUGACCCCGGUAGCUACUUCCUCGAAAUGAAUGCCAAAGACCUGAUUAACCUCAAAGCAAAGAAUUCAAGGAUGGAUGAUGUGGACCAUGUCCUAAAGACUGUCAACUUCUUUAGGGAGAUGAAAGCUAUAAAAAGGGAAUUCUUCUGUGACAUGCAAGCGAACGCAAGCUGCCGAGGGGCAUAUCAGGACUUCGGUGACUGCGUAACAUUUGACACCACAUAUAAGACCAACAAGUACCAUAUGCCACUUGGGGUGUUUGUGGGUACUAACAACCACUUACAGACUACAUUCUUUGGUUUCGCCCAGAUAAGAGACGAGGAUGCAGAUUCAUUCAGAUGGCUGUUCAAGACAUUUAGGUGCAUGAGAGGGAAGGCUCUUACAUGCAUCCUUACAUACCAGUGCCCGACAAUGGCUUUGGCGAUCCCAGAUGCUUUCAAGAACACAGUACACAAGCUCUGCCGCUGGCAUAUUAUGAAGAAGUACAGGGAACACCUCGCAUACCUGUACAACCUGCACGAAGACUUUAAGGGUGAAUUCACAUCAAUCCUCAACUGGCCCCUCAUGCCAACUGAGUUUGAGGCUGCCUAGAAAAGACUCAUGGAUAGGUACAACCUCCAUGAUGAUGCCACGAUGGUGGGCAUGUGGAACGAGCGUGAGAGAUGGAUAUCAGCCUACUUCAAAAAAUUCUGCGCCAAAAUGACAUCCACACAAUGAAGUGAGAGCAUGAACUAUGUGCUUAAGAAGAACUUCGUAAGUGAGAGACAAAACCUCCACUGGUUUGUCAGCCAGGUAAACUCUUGCGUCAAAACCAGGAGGCAGAUAGAGAACCAGGAGACAAUGGGUAACCGGGUAUAG